rnacentral:rRNA from 1 species
GUUUCGUGUGAACAGUGGUUGAUCACGAGUUAGUCGGUCCUAAGUUUAAUGCGAAAGCUGAAUAUUUUCAAAGUUAAUUAAAAAAAUUUUAUAUAUAAAUAAUGAUACACUUUUGAUUUAAUAUAUUUAAACGAAAGGGAAUACGGUUCCAAUUCCGUAACCUGUUGAGUAUCCGUUUGUUAUUAAAAAUGGGCCUUGUGCUCAUCCUGGUAACAGGAACGACCAUAAAGAAGCCGUCGAGAGAUAUCGGAAGAGUUUUCUUUUCUGUUUUAUAAUUGUACUACCAUGGAAGUCUUUCGAAGAGAGAUAUGGUAGAUGGAUUAGAAGAGCAUGACAUUUACUGUUGUGUCGAUAUUAUCCCUUCGAACCUUGAAAAUUUAUGGUGGGGUUACGCAAAUCUCUCAACAGGCCGUACCGAUAUCCGCAGCUGGUCUCCAAGGUGAAGAGUCUCUAGUCGAUAGAAUAAUGUAGGUAAGGGAAGUCUUUAAGGAGUUUUUAACAAGAGGUGUCAGAAAAGUUACCACAGGGGUAACUGGCUUGUGGCGGCCAAGCGUUCAUAGCGACGUCGCUUUUUGAUCCUUCGAUGUCGGCUCUCCCUAUCAUUGUGAAGCAAAAUUCACCAAGCGUUGGAUUGUUCACCCAUGCAAGGGAACGUGAGCUGGGUUUAGACCGUCGUGAGACAGGUUAGUUUUACCCUACUAAUGACAAUAUGUUAUUGCGACAGCAUUCCUGCGUAGUACGAGAGGAACCGCAGGUAUGGACCAAUGGUACAAUACUUGUUCGAGCGAACAGUGGUAUGAUACUACGUCCGUUGGAUUAUGCCUGAACGCCUCUAAGGUCGUAUCCGCGCUGGACUGCAAUGAUAAAUAUGGGGCAAUUGCAUUGUAUGGCUUUUUAAAUUAUAUUUUAAGUUUUAUAUGUAAUAUUAUAAAGCCGACACAAAAUAAUUUUAAAGUGACGCCAAUGUUGUAUGUAAUAUAGCUAAUGUAAGAGGAUUAAAUAUCGCUUGCAUGUUAUGCUUAUAAAAUUACCUAUAUUUUUAAAACAUUAUUUAAUAUAAUGACAAUGCCUAGAAUCAAUUGUAAACGACUUUGGUAACAGGCAAGGUGUUGUAAG